GAAAACCAAAAUAAGAGCUCAUGAGUGGCAGCAGAAGUGAAGCGAAGCUUAAUGAAGGAUAGAUCCAAUACACAACCAUCAGCAUCCAAGUGAAAUGCAGCCUUGAAACUGAGUGCUCUUGAUGAGCUCAUCUAGUUCUGACAUCAGCCUGGCUGAGAGCAAUGUACUGACUGUGCCACACUGCCAUGGGAGCUCUGAGAAGAUGCUGUUAGCUUCAGAUUCUUGCAAAGGACAGAGAAAUUGGCAACAGCUCUCAGAAAA